AUGGCUUCUUAUACCGUUGUUUUGAUGCUAGUUGCUACAUUGUUGAUUAGUUUCACCAUUGCUCAAUCUCCGCCAGUUGUCACUCCUCCAGUCCCUAGCGCUUCAUCUCCUUCACCAUCCACCGUCAUCGUCGCACCACCUCCUCCGGCCACUGCUCCUGCUGUCACUCCACCGCCGAUCUCAAAGUCUCCGGCUAAAGCGCCGUCCAAAAACAGCGCUCCUUUGAACGGAUUCUCUGUUUCCGGAUCCGCGGCUGUUGUUAUCUUUGCUGCUGCUUUCAUGAUGUAG